GUUUUUAUAGUUUAUAUCAAAACAUUGGUCUUGUAAAUCGAAAAUAAUAUAUUAUUAUUUAAAAACU
rnacentral:tRNA from 1 species